rnacentral:rRNA from 1 species
CCCUUAGAUGUUCUGGGCAGCACGCGCGCUACAAUGGUCUUCGCAAACGGAUGCAUUCUCGAAGGAGAAUGCCAAUCUUGGAAUCUAUGCCUUGGUCGGGACAGUUGCUUGCAAUUUUUCGACUCGAACCAGGAAUUCCUUGUAAUCGUGAUUCAUCACAUCACGAUGAAUACGUCCCUGCCCUUUGUACACACCGCCCGUCGCACCUACCGAUUGAAUGUUUCGGUGAAGAUUCCGGAUAGGACUUUUUUGAUUUAUUUCAAUUCUGUCUUAAAAGCUAUCUAAACCUCAACAUUUAGAGGAAGGUGAAGUCGUAACA